rnacentral:lncRNA from 1 species
UGGACCUCUCUUACAUCUGUUGCUGUGGAUAAGGUGGGAGUGGGGAUUGGUUUUGCCACAAGGACCUCAUCCUCCUUCUUGUGGUCUUCUCCAUGAGUCACAUUGUCCACCAGGCUACCCAGGACCUCUCCCCGAGUUUGACAGCGGGGCUUCAUCUGGAGCAUCUCCUCUGACCUCAUCUCAGGUUUGGCCUGUUUCUCUGACAGGCCACCUGCAACAUCAGCACUCAUCAGAGCCGUAGAGCCCAGAGGCUCAUGAGAAGGAACCGAUGGCUUGGGCUUGCUGGUCAGGAGCUGCUGGCCCUCCAUGGUUACCUUGAAAUGGAAGGUAAGGAAUGACACAUUAGUGUUCUUUAUGAAGUGAAUGGUUAAUAAUAAUCCUAAUCUAAAUAACAAGUUCAUAAACAGUUUUUGUGGAUGGUAACAGUGGUGUCCUGUAUUAUAGGAAAUUAUGACAUGAUUAUACCUCCACUGGAGACUGGUGAUGUUGACAUUGUGUAAUGCUCAGCUCUCUACAAACUCCCUGCUCGAUCUCAAGGAGUCUAUGGCAGCAUGGCUACAUCACUGCCACAUCUCAUAUGGCCUUUUGGAAAGUUCCUUUGGCAAGUUGGACGCACGUACGCUUGUUGACGAGUAGUGGUUGGAAAAGACAAGGCAAUUUACGUGUUUAUUCAAUAUCCUCCCAUUAUUAACAGAUAGGCACAUAAUAAAAUGUCCACCUGGAAUAAAACAAAUAAAACAACUCCUUUGCCUCCAUUGUGUUCAUCUUUACCUGAAAACACCCCACACAAAGUAUGACCCACACCAACUAAAACGAAAUAUGCCCUGCACGCAAAACACUGUGUAAACCUUGCAUUGUUCAAUGGAAAUGAUUAAGAAAGAGAACCAAUUAGAAGAUAUUUAUAGAUUGGUCAAUGUUUUACAGUCAGGGAUAUUCCUGGGA